GCACUGGAGAGAGCGUCUUGUGGUUACGGCCUGCGGCCUGCACCUCAGCUUCCUCCGCACGGUUAUCCCUGUACCCGCCGCCAUCCAUCCUGGCGCUCCGGAUGAGUCAAUGAGGGGCAGCGCCCGAGGAAUGGUCUUCCCAAGAACCCCCGGUGGCCUCCCAAGGCCGGUGCUGUGUACCUCCUCCCCGACAAAAGGGGCAACUGAGGCCCCGAGGGGAGUGGGAAGAGCCGGCUGGACGUCAGGCCCAGCCGCUGGUGCGGUAGUCCGUCCCCUCCGCCGGGGUGGGCCCCUCGGGUUUCGCGUGUCCUCGGGAAAGAGACUGGCGGGCCUCGUGGGCUGUGCGGCUCUCCUGGAGACAGAUGACAGCUCUCCCUUGGAUGGCUUUGCUAGUUUCGCACCAGCCAGCGCCCCAUUUUUCCUGCAGCACCCUGAUCCGCACUCCCUGAGGGGCUCCCACUGUCCGCGGUGUGAGGAUGUCCCUGGUCCACUGUGUGCAGAGGCAUGGGAGUUGUCAUGUCGAUAACAUGCUAGACCUCAGUGUCCUUGAGGGAUGCCGCCUUGGGUCUGGAGACUGUUAGAGGAAACCCCAAGAGGUGCAAGCACUGAGCCUCUCAGGACAAUGACCUGGGAUUCCACCUCCCCUGGAGGGGCCUCCUCAUGAUUGUUUGGGGGUUGAUCACAGACCAAGAGUGAUGAGUGAUGUCACCCUGUGAUGCAUGGCUGGACCUUCUUGCCCCUAUUGUCUCAGCACAACAUUAAUCGACUUUUCCCUCAGCGUGGGUGGGCAGAGGAAAAGCCCUGUGGCUCUGGGGACUUGGGAUCCAGAGUUGAAGACCCUUCAGCUGGCUCUGCCCUGCCAGUGCCACAGAGUGCCAUGGCCCAGGAAGACUGGUUUUCUUCCAUCUAGGCCAGGCCAUCCAGUGGCCAUCCUUCGUGUCCUCCCACCUCCUUCUGGUGUGACUUCUGAAAACCAAGAAUUUGUUCCUGUUGACUUUUUCUGUGCUAUGGACCAUUGUCCUCUGACCCACUCAAUAAAUCUUGAAACAUGC
rnacentral:lncRNA from 1 species